CCUACGGGUGGCUGCAGUGGGGAAUUUUGGACAAUGGGCGCAAGCCUGAUCCAGCCAUGCCGCGUGAGUGAAGAAGGCCUUCGGGUUGUAAAGCUCUUUCGCAAGGAAAGAAAACUUAGCCAAUAACACUGGCUGAGGAUGACGGUACCUUGAUAAGAAGCACCGGCUAACUACGUGCCAGCAGCCGCGGUAAUACGUAGGGUGCGAGCGUUGAUCGGAGCUACUGGGGGUAAAUCUUGAAGUCAGGGGUGAAAUCCCCGGGCUCAACCUGGGAACUGCGUUUGAAACUACAAAGGUAGAGUGUAGAAGAGGGGGGUAGAAUUCCACGUGUAGCAGUGAAAUGCGUAGAGAUGUGGAGGAAUACCGAUGGCGAAGGCAGCCCCCUGGGCUAACACUGACGCUCAUGCACGAAAGCGUGGGGAGCAAACAGGAUUAGAUACCCCAGUAGUC
rnacentral:rRNA from 1 species